GCCCUCAUAGCUCAGUAGGUAGAGCGUGCCCUUGGUAAGGGCAAGGUCAUGGGUUCGAAUCCCAUUGGGGGCU
rnacentral:tRNA from 1 species